rnacentral:rRNA from 1 species
GUGGGGAAUCUUAGACAAUGGGCGCAAGCCUGAUCUAGCCAUGCCGCGUGAGUGAUGAAGGCCCUAGGGUUGUAAAGCUCUUUCAGCUGGGAAGAUAAUGACGGUACCAGCAGAAGAAGCCCCGGCUAACUCCGUGCCAGCAGCCGCGGUAAUACGGAGGGGGCUAGCGUUGUUCGGAAUUACUGGGCGUAAAGAGCGCGUAGGCGGACUGAAAAGUUGGGGGUGAAAUCCCGGGGCUCAACCUCUGAACUGCCUUCAAAACUAUCAGUCUGGAGUUCGAGAGAGGUGAGUGGAAAUCCGAGUGUAGAGGUGAAAUUCGUAGAUAUUCGGAGGAACACCAGUGGCGAAGGCGGCUCACUGGAUCGAUACUGACGCUGAGGUGCGAAAGCGUGGGGAGCAAACAGGAUUAGAAACCCCGGUAGUCC